AACGAACGCUGGCGGCAUGCCUAACACAUGCCAGUCGAACGAGACCUUCGGGUCUAGUGGCGCACGGGUGCGUAACGCGUGGGAACCUGCCCUUAGGUUCGGAAUAACUCCCCGAAAGGGGUGCUAAUACCGGAUAAUGUCUUCGGACCAAAGAUUUAUCGCCUUUGGAUGGGCCCGCGUUGGAUUAGCUAGUUGGUAGGGUAAAAGCCUACCAAGGCGACGAUCCAUAGCUGGUCUGAGAGGAUGAUCAGCCACACUGGGACUGAGACACGGCCCAGACCCCUAGGGGAGGCAGCAGGGGGGAAUAUUGGAAAAUGGGCGAAAGCCUGAUCCAGCAAGGCCGCGUGAGUGAUGAAGGCCUUAGGGUUGUAAAGCUCUUUUACCCGGGAUGAUAAUGACAGUACCGGGAGAAUAAGCCCCGGCUAACUCCGU
rnacentral:rRNA from 1 species